UACGAAGGGGGCUAGCGUUGCUCGGAAUUACUGGGCGUAAAGCGCACGUAGGCGGAUUGUUAAGUCGGAGGUGAAAUCCUGGAGCUCAACUCCAGAACUGCCUUCGAUACUGGCGAUCUUGAGUCCGGGAGAGGUGAGUGGAACUGCGAGUGUAGAGGUGAAAUUCGUAGAUAUUCGCAAGAACACCAGUGGCGAAGGCGGCUCACUGGCCCGGUACUGACGCUGAGGUGCGAAAGUGUGGGUAGCAAACAGG
rnacentral:rRNA from 1 species